rnacentral:rRNA from 1 species
CCCGCUGAACUUAAGCAUAUCAGUAAGCGGAGGAAAAGAAACUAACAAGGAUUCCCCUAGUAACGGCGAGUGAAGCGGGAAAAGCUCAAAUUUAAAAUCUGGCAUCCUUUGGGUGUCCGAGUUGUAGUCUAGAGAAGCGUUUUCUGUGUCGGACCGUGUAAAAGUCCCUUGGAAUAGGGCAUCAUAGAGGGUGAGAAUCCCGUCUUUGACACGGACUGCCGGUGCUCUGUGAUGCGCUCUCAAAGAGUCGAGUUGUUUGGGAAUGCAGCUCAAAAUGGGUGGUAAAUUCCAUCUAAAGCUAAAUAUUGGCGAGAGACCGAUAGCGAACAAGUACCGUGAGGGAAAGAUGAAAAGCACUUUGGAAAGAGAGUUAAACAGUACGUGAAAUUGUUGAAAGGGAAGCGCUUGAAGUCAGUCGCAUCCACCAGGACUCAGCCGUUGCCCCUAGCUCGGCGCACUUCCUGGUAGAUGGGCCAGCGUCGAUUUUGAUCAUUGGACAAGGGCCCAUGGGAAGGUGGCACCUCCGGGUGUGUUAUAGCCCAGGGUCGUAUACUUUGGUUGGGAUCGAGGAACUCAGCAUGCCCUUGUGGUCGGGGGGAAACCCUACGUAUCGUGCUUAGGAUGCUGGCGUAAUGGCUUUAAGCGACCCGUCUUGAAACACGG